UUCAGAAGCAUCUCAACCUUUUCCUCUUUGCUCAUGUAUUAUCAGUUUCUCUUCUUAAACUGACCAGUGGAAGAACAAUGAAGAGAUAACUACUGGAAAUCUCUUUCAAUCUCUCUCUCUCUCUCUCUCUCUCUCUCACACACACGCAGAUAUGUGUUUUCAUUCCAUUUCUCUGUACCAACAGGUUUCAGGUUUUGCAGCAUUACUUGUGUUUAACUGUCUGACAUGAUGGGCAAGAUGUCACUCCUAAUCUGAGGCACAUCCUUUCACUCGCUCAUAGCUUUAGAAGUGCCAAGAAGGUGUCCAACUCAGUCAGAUUCAGGUUUUGCAGCAUUGUUUGUUCUUAGUUGUCUAACCUGGAAAUGGUAUCUCUCCUAAUCUGAGUCAUAUCCUCGUGUGCAUUCAUAGCUUCAGAGGUGCCAAGCUGUCCAGCUCUGUCAGGUUCAUUGUUCACUGUCUGUGGCU